UAAGGAAUAUUGGUCAAUGGACGCAAGUCUGAACCAGCCAUGCCGCGUGGAGGAUGAAGGUCCUCUGGAUUGUAAACUUCUUUUAUCUGGGACGAAACACUCCUAUUCUUGGGGGCCUGACGGUACCAGAUGAAUAAGCACCGGCUAACUCCGUGCCAGCAGCCGCGGUAAUACGGAGGGUGCAAGCGUUAUCCGGAUUCACUGGGUUUAAAGGGUGCGUAGGUGGGUAUGUAAGUCAGUGGUGAAAUCCCCGAGCUUAACUUGGGAACUGCCGUUGAUACUAUAUAUCUUGAAUGUCGUAGAGGUAAGCGGAAUAUGUCAUGUAGCGGUGAAAUGCUUAGAGAUGACAUAGAACACCAAUUGCGAAGGCAGCUUGCUAUGCGAUUAUUGACACUGAGGCACGAAAGCGUGGGUAGCAAAC
rnacentral:rRNA from 1 species